UCCUUAGUGGUGUAACGGCUAACAUCACUGUCUUUCACACAGUAGCUCGGGGUUCGAUUCCCCGCUAAGGAG
rnacentral:tRNA from 1 species